UACGUUUUUGCCAGUUUUGUAUUUGCGGGAGCCUUAACUAUUUCUUGUGCUGUGACAAAGGGGCUGUGGGUGGAUUCUGGCUCCAUGUGGUCUCCUUGUCUGGUGCGUAUCCUCUCUCGUUGUGCUGGAUCUCUCGUUAUCAGUAGUUUAAUGUAGUGUGGUCACAGGUAAAUGCUGGUAGCGGCUCGCUGCUCUUGCCUCGUCUCACUGGUUGCAUGAACAGGUGCUGUACCAUAAGGGGCUGACGGCCUGUAGUGGUGUGGGUGAUCGUAGGAGAUCCUCCUGUCUGCUGUGCCGUUUCCAGGGAUGUGGGUCGUUCACGGGUGUGCUCUUUUCACGCACAUUGAAGCAAACUAAAGGACAAAGCAGCAGUGGUCUUCAUUGGAGUUCAUGGAGGUUUGGGGCUGACGGCCUGUAGUGGUGUGGGUGAUCGUAGGAGAUCCUCCUGUCUGCUGUGCCGUUUCCAGGGAUGUGGGUCGUUCACGGGUGUGCUCUUUUCACGUGUGUCUGGGGGAACUUUUACUUUGGGGACC